CCAUCUGGUGCUUGCACCAGAGAAGACCUAGUGGCGAACGGGUGAGUAGCACGUGAGCAACCUGCCCCGAAGACUGGGAUAACACCGGGAAACCGGUGCUAAUACCGGAUACCCCCAUCUGAUCGCAUGUUCGGAUGAGGAAAUGGAUUCCGCUUCGGGAGGGGCUCGCGGCCUAUCAGCUAGUUGGUGGGGUAAUGGCCCACCAAGGCAUCGACGGGUAGCUGGUCUGAGAGGACGAUCAGCCACACUGGGACUGAGACACGGCCCAGACUCCUACGGGAGGCAGCAGUGGGGAAUCUUGCGCAAUGGGCGAAAGCCUGACGCAGCAACGCCGCGUGAGGGACGACGGUUUUCUGAAUUGUAAACCUCUUUCAGCAGGGACGAUAAUGACGGUACCUGCAGAAGAAGCACCGGCCAACUACGUGCCAGCAGCCGCGGUGAUACGUAGGGUGCGAGCGUUGUCCGGAUUUAUUGGGCGUAAAGAGCUCGUAGGCGGUUUGAUAAGUCGGAUGUGAAAUCCCCAGGCUCAACCUGGGGUCGCCAUUCGAUACUGUCAUGACUAGAGUCUGGUAGGGGAUCACGGAAUUCCUGGUGUAGCGGUGGAAUGCGCAGAUAUCAUGAGGAAACACCAGUAGCGAAGGCGGUGAUCUGGGCCAGUACUGACGCUG
rnacentral:rRNA from 1 species